rnacentral:lncRNA from 1 species
GGAUCAGCAAGGUUAGAAUGUCUAACUUGCAAGGUAAUAGAUCUGAUCUAUUGUUUAAUACACACAUUAGAUGUAGUAUAGAAAUAUGUUAAUAUGAUCAACAUGUAGUUCAUGCUCUAUAUAUUUUAAUUUUUAAUUUAGUGCUAUAUAAUAAUUAUAUAAUAGAAUCUUAGAUCUUGAGAUUCUUUAAUUUUAAAAAAUAAAUUUUGAUUUAUUUUAGUCUUCCG